CAGGGAUAUAAGGAGCAGACUGGGCAGGAGAAGGGCAGUUGAAGUGGGAUGAAGUGGUGGUAUGAGCUCCUAGUGGCUGCAUCAAGCUGGCUGUGGAUCCCUGAACAAAGGUUCCUCAUGUAAAGCAUCAAAUCUGGAUUUGAAGGAUUGAUUCUAAAUCCCCUUCCCACUGUACAUAACAGUAGUAAGUCUCAAGCCUGAGCCACCUGCUUCCGUACUCUCCAGGAUGUGAGAUGUUAAAGGGUGGGGAACCAGCAUUUAUGGGGGACACCCGAGGUGAAGAUCCCAAUCUGCUACAAAAGUUCCUGCUGGUGCUGACCAUGCCCUGGAGCUGUCAGGCCCUGCUUGCACUGUCUCGUGCUGUACGUCCUGAGUGGUGCAACAGACACGUCAUUCAUCAAGCUCCUCUGGCUUCUGUAGAAGGCUCCCAAGAAUACCACCAAUAUCCUGUGCUAAUGCUCAUCGCUGCAAUAUGUCAAUUCUGGCCCUGAGCAGAAAGCUGGCUGGCAGACAGAGCUUUCCAGUGGCUGGAUGACUUGGAGCUGUAGUCCAUCAAACAGAGCAAUUUCCAAUCUACUUCAGAGCAAUAGAGGAAACAGGAUUCCUCAUCAGCAAACACUUGGUCUUAAGUGUCCAGUGAUUAUGACUUAAUUUAGUAAUCAUUGGCAUGGGGAUGAGCAUAACAAAUUGGCUGGGUAUUUACAGGAAGGCUGUUAUUCAGUAGUCGCUGAGUAUAAUGAAGGCUUUCAAACCCAGAUGACUGCAUGGCUCCAAAGUUUGAUAUUGGGUUAUGGAGCCUUUCCAGUGCUUGUCCUGCCUCUGACCUCCUAUGUCAACACAGGCAGGUCUGUGUCCCUUCACGCAACCCAGCCCACUUUCAGCCUUGUAACACAGGCUAAGGUAAUGCACUGCAGCAUCAUGUCUUGCAUUUAAAUGGUCCUCACUUGUAUUCCUAACUCUGAAGCUUUUGCAUAGCAGAAGCUUGAUUUCAGUUGUCUUAAGCCUUCUGGACAUUAGACCUGUCAUUAAAAUACCUUCUGUUGCAGGUUAGUGGGAGUUGUGUGCGUAAGGACCUCGUCCGUGGUUAUGCAGCAAUCCUGUUUCAGCAACAUGCAGUGAGCAGAUGUUUCAGGCUAAGGAAAUUCCGUAUGGCCCAUAGCAGUGUGUUCAGCCGUGCACCAUGGCUCCUUGAGGCAAGGGCUUUCUUGGUAUUGUGCCCAGCACAAUGGGGCCCUGGACCAUGACUGGGGUUCACAGGUGCUAAUGCAACAGAAAUUGGCUUCUGUUGUGUUCUUGAGCAGAAAACCAGGCUUGAAAUGAAAACGCCUCUGAGGAGCUAGAUCAGCCCCAGCCUCUUGGUCAGCUGGGAUGUGUAAAUCAACCUGGCCACUUCCUGACUUGCAAGGGGCAUUUCAGAUGCUUGUCCAUGCGCCAGGGUGGUAAAAGGGCUAAAACACAGACCUGCAACUGUCACAUGCAGACAUCACUGCUAAGGGAGCAGCUAGAAAAAUGGACUCCAGUCCAACCUCAGAAGAGCCCCUUCUUGGAGCAGUGACUUCUUUCUACCAUUCCAGAACCCACUGAGAGCCAGAAACGAGGGCUAAGCGCAUCCUGUAUUGGAAAGACUCAGACUCUCAACCAUCCUCUAAUGGAGGUUAGACAAAUUGCUGGAGACUGACUGGCUCCGAUCCAGUGUUAAAAUGCCUAUCUUCACACUAGUUUUACCUUCCCAAACCAAUGUGUUCCUGCAUUUAUUUCCCUAGGCAGGAUGGAGAGUUCUGUUCACCAAGGGCUGAAUAGUACCAUCGUUUCUGGAAUCUAUGAUGUAAUGAUCCCUGCAUGAGACAUCACAAUCUCUGCAUGGGCACCUACAAAUAGCACAGGGCAGCUGCUGGGCACGUUGCCAGUGCACACACCGAAUAACCAUUGAAUGGCUGUAGAACAUCUCCGCUUGCUCCAAAGGUGAUCUGCAGGGCUGGACAAGAAAUGGGUUUUCUGGCCCCCAAGAACUUGAGGUUGUUAGAGUUGGUUGUGGGGGGAGGCACCCCUAUUUUUUUUUAAUGGUGCACAUAUGUGCCCUUGUCUCCUCCCCUGUCUAGCUCUGUUAGGUCUGAGGUUGGACUGCAAGUGCUCUGGAGCCUGAAAUUUCCAAGUCCUGAAUUAGUGGCCGGACCAGCCAUGAGGAAAGUGUACCCCAGGAGUCCAAGGUCGCGUAGCAGACGUGAGGGCCUCUUUCCUACCCCCCACCACCUGUGUGUUGGAAAAGUGGGUUAUCUUCAGAAUAGGUGCUCUGCAAGUCUGUUGCAAUGGCUCCCUCUGCCUGUGUUCUGGUGGCCAUUCUUGGAUGGACUCUGGGUGCUUAAGGUGUCUUAUGGGCAAAGGAUGAAUUUGUCCCAGCAACACGUCCAAUGGCUACUAUCCCACCAGAGCCGUAGUGGAAGCACGGAUAAGGCAGGCAUGCGUGGCUUAGCACAGCUCCUAUCAGUUUGGCUUCUUCUGACAGGUUUGUAGGCAACCUUGCUGCUCUCUUUUCGCUGCCCCCCUCACAUGGCCCUUUGUGCAGUGGCAAAUAACAUGAGAUGCAAGGUACAAAUGAAUGAGGAUCCUUGUGAGUCUGAGCAUCAUACCUGUAGAGGGAAGACCUGAGAGAAAGCAGUUUCUUUUAAACUCUGGGUACCAAAAAAGCAGAUGGGACUGGAAGAGAAGGAAUGAAUGCUGUGGCCCUGGUUCCCUAAGGGGCUGCAGAAAGUGUUAACGGUCUGACGCACCGGAUUUGGUUUCAGUGGAGAUGUAACUGCCUAUAACUUGACUAAUACAGUAGUGAAUUGCCCCACCCUGUCUCCAGAGUAGCCUGGUUAGAACUGGUUGGAAAUCAAACAUCCCUCAUCCUUUUCUCCCCUUCUGUGCUCUUUCCCCACACCCCCAAAAAAAUCUGUUCAAAAUGUUUUGUUUUGAAAAUUAUUAAAAUAUUUCAAAUCAA